ACCUGACAAUAUGCUCUGCUUGAAAAUCAAAUGUUUUCGACCUACUCAAUUGUGUCGCCACGAUUUAAAGAUGGCUGACCACGGUCAGAGUUUCACCGGCAAUAAGCAGUCGAUUUGGCCCCGAGAGACGGUUUACCUUGUAUUAGUUGGGUUAUUGCUGUUAACUAUCUUGAUACUCACUCUCAUUAACCGAUGGUUCAGCUCUAGCGAGCCACUGCAACCAGUUAGAGCUGAACCUGUACACCGACUACAGAAUGUUCCUGUUCGUGAGAAUAUCCCAGUUGGAGCCAGGCGUAAGAUAGCUCGGCGGCGAAUGCAACUGGAGAGAGAUUCAGAUGAUGAUGCACCUGUUAAUGUGGGAAGAGGAGAGGAACAAAGUUUUUCGGAUAAUGAAGAAAGUAUUUUCGACAACAUUGCCAUGCCUGAAGGCAAGAUUGGUGCCAAGAAGAUGCGUAAACUACAGGAAAAGGCAGAGAAAAAAGCAAUGAGAGAGCAAAUGGAGAUAGAACGUGAGGAGAAAAGGGAGCGGUUAGCUGCUGAGGAGGCGAAAAAGAAAGAAGAGGAGAAAAAACGGGAACGAGAAGAAGCUGAAAUGGCACUUGCUCAGCAGAAAGCAAAGGAAGAAGAACAGAAAAGAGAACAUGAAGAAUAUUUGAAGAUGAAAGCUGAGUUUACAAUAGAUGAAGAAGGAGAAGAAGAAAAAGCAACAGAUUUAGACUCACAAUCUCUGCUGGAAGAAUUUAUCAAUUACAUCAAGGAGAUCAAAGUUGUAAUGCUGGAAGAUUUGGCUCACCAUUUCUCAAUAAAAACACAGGAAGCAAUUGAUCGGGUGCAGUGUCUCCUUGGUGACGGCACUUUGACUGGAGUCAUGGAUGACCGUGGAAAGUUCAUCUACAUCACCAGAGAUGAAUUGCAGUCCGUAGCAAAGUAUAUGCAACAGAGAGGACGUGUAUCAGUUCAAGAUUUGGCUGUCUCCAGCAACGAACUGAUUGAGUUGAAUCCUAAUAAUGAACUGGCACAGAGACGUUUGCUGGGUGAAGCUUCAGCAUGAUACUUCAUGGUUUCCAUCUAACUGUAUAUGUCUAUUUUUUUAUGUUCAUAUAUAUAUAUAUAUAUAUGUAAUUAUGUAUAUGUGUGUGUAUGCGUGUGUGUUUAUUAAUUGGAAGAAGUUACAGAGUGACUCCAGGACUGAGAGUUUAAUGUAUUGGCACUUACCAAACCAGUUUCCAAUUUUGAACGUUACAUUUAUGUUGACCAGCUUAAAUGAUAACUAUAAUUCUCUGGAUUCUUCUAGAAUAAAUUAUGUAAACAAUUUCAA